rnacentral:rRNA from 1 species
UGGGGAAUCUUGCGCAAUGGGCGAAAGCCUGACGCAGCCAUGCCGCGUGGAUGAUGAAGGUCUUAGGAUUGUAAAAUCCUUUCAGCGGGGACGAUAAUGACGGUACCCGCAGAAGAAGCCCCGGCUAACUUCGUGCCAGCAGCCGCGGUAAUACGAAGGGGGCUAGCGUUGCUCGGAAUUACUGGGCGUAAAGGGCGCGUAGGCGGACAAUUAAGUCGGGGGUGAAAGCCCGGGGCUCAGCCUCGGAAUUGCCUUCGAUACUGGAUGUCUUGAGUACGGGAGAGGUGAGUGGAACUCCGAGUGUAGAGGUGAAAUUCGUAGAUAUUCGGAAGAACACCAGUGGCGAAGGCGACUCACUGGCCCGUUACUGACGCUGGGGCGCGAAAGCGUGGGGAGCAAACA